rnacentral:rRNA from 1 species
UACGUAGGGGGCAAGCGUUGUCCGGAAUCAUUGGCGUAAAGCGCGCGUGAGGCGGCCCGAUAAGUCUGCUGUGAAAGUCCACGGGCUCAACCCUGGAAUGCCGGUGGAUACUGUCGGGCUAGAGUUCGGAAGAGGCAAGUGGAAUUCCUGGUGGUAGACGGUGAAAUGCGCAGAUAGUCAGGAGGAACACCGAUGGCGAAGGCAGCUCGCUGGGAACGGUACUGAGCUGAGGCGCGGAAAGCGUGGGGAGCAAACAGG